GGCUAUUGUAGCUAUCCUGGUAUAUAAGGUCCCGCUUGCGGGCCGUGCACCCCACUUUGCCUGCGCCCGCCCGGAGCCUGCGCUUCUCCACCUACUCGGUAUCCAGUGAGACUCGCGGCGCACCGACGGAGCGGACAUGGGCAGAGCCAUGGUAGCCAGGCUCGGACUGGGGCUGCUGCUUCUGGCGCUGCUCCUGCCCACGCAGAUUUAUUCAAAUCAUACAUCUCCUGUAACGCCUGCAAGUAACCCCUCCCACAAUACUUCGACUACCCAGAGUCCAGCAAAUGUCACGACCAGGGCAACUGGUGGUGCUCUGCAUUCAACAGCCAGCGUCUUCGUGAUCUCGUUGGCUCUCCUACAUCUCUACUGUUAAAAGACUCGGGCCAAGAAACGUCUGUACACCUCCAUCUUCUAAACCCAAUCCAAAUGGCAUCUAGAUAUCCAGUGUGACAAGGAAGAAACAGGUCUUCAUUGAAUCUGCUAAUUCACACCUAAUUUUAUUGACACAGAAAAUGUUGAGGAUCUCAAAUUUGAUUGGCUUGAAGAGCAUGUGCAGGGUUUGACUAGAUAAUGAAUGCCAAUAUUAAAUCUGCUGGACUUUCACGUGCAAGAUGAAGAGACACAUCCAAAAUUAGUUCAGAGGUGAUUUCCUUAAAUGUGGCUUAAGAAGUAUGGACACAUACAAUUCUACCUUGAAAAUCGGUAGAUUUUAUCUAGAGAUAAAGGAUGGCAUUUGGAACAGAGUCAGUUUUCAUUUGGUUCAUUAAAGUUACAUGGCCAUAAAACAGUUAGGUAAUGCAAAAAGAUAUGGUUCUAUUUAUGUUUAUUCUAGAAGGAACGUCCAAGUGUUUCUGUAAAUCCCCAAUGUAUUGUUUCACAGUACUAAUUUAAUGCCCAUAUAACUCAAAAUAAAAUUUUACAUUGUUAAACUAUCACUGUUCUCUUGAGAGCUGGACUCUUUCCUCUGAGCCUCUGGAUUUGACAUAGCAUUUGACUUUUUGUGUGGUAAUUUAUAUGUGCCAGGAUAAUGAUGGAUUGGAACCUACUCCAAAUCCAAGCAUAAUGGGUAAAUUUUGCUGAUAUUCAAUAAGAGCGCCAACUUAAUUUAGCUAAUCUAAUUCUGAAGAGUAGAAGUACACUGACCUCAACUAAUUUCAAAGUGCUUUUUAUUUCUGCAUAUGUUGAAUACAUUUUUACAAUUUAAAAAAUGAUUGGUUUUGAAGGUAAAAUUGACAAACCUUGAAAUUGAAAAGGCAAAUCUAUGAAGGAGCCAAAACUGUAAAUUAGGUGUUUGGGAAGUGAAGACUGGAAGCUUACAUUAAAUUCAGAAAAACUUUUAUACUCUUCCUGUACAUACUUUUUUUUAAAAAAAACUAUGAAUCAGAAUAGCCACAUUGGGAACACUUUCUGUUGUUGGUCAAUAUUUUUAGAUAGUUAGAACCUGAUCCAAAGCCUCUAAUGUGUAGGCUUAAUUUUGGAAAGUAAAUCUUUUCACAAUUGCCUCAAUGCUCAGAACCUUUUUAAAAAUAGACACGCCCUAAAGUCUUUUGUUCGCAUGGUCACACACUGAUGCUUAGAUGUUCCAGUAUUUAAUAUGGCAACAGUAGUCUUGAUAACCAAAGUCAUUAUUUUCCAUCUUUAGAAACUUAACCAGGAACACCGUAACCAGCAGAUCUUAAGCUACUGUGUGUGUG